UGGCGGACGGGUGAGUAACACGUGAGAAUUCGCCUUUAGGCGGGGAAUAACCAUCGGAAACAAUGGCUAAUGCCCCAUAUGCUCGUAAGAGUGAAAGGAGCAAUCCACCCAGAGAGAAGCUCGCGGCUGAUUAGCUAGUUGGUAAGGUAAUGGCUUACCAAGGCGACGAUCAGUAGCUGGUUUGAGAGAACGAUCAGCCACACUGGAACUGAGACACGGUCCAGACUCCUACGGGAGGCAGCAGUGGGGAAUUUUCCGCAAUGGGCGCAAGCCUGACGGAGCAAUACCGCGUGAGGGAUGACGGCCCUUGGGUUGUAAACCUCUUUUAUCAAGGAGGAAGUUCUGACGUGUACUUGAUGAAUAAGCAUCGGCUAACUCCGUGCCAGCAGCCGCGGUAAGACGGAGGAUGCAAGUGUUAUCCGGAAUCACUGGGCGUAAAGCGUCUGUAGGUGGUUCGAAAAGUCCACUGUUAAAAAUUGAGGCUUAACCUCAAAGAUGCCGUGGAAAC
rnacentral:rRNA from 1 species